GCGUAUUAUGCGCUCGAUUUUUCUACUAGAGGACACACACUUUGGACAGUCACAGUCGAUACCGACUUAAAUUUUUCAUGUAAGCUGUCGCCCGUCUUUCGACUUAUCGGCGACAAGUUCG
rnacentral:ncRNA from 18 species